rnacentral:rRNA from 1 species
UGGCAGGUACAGCGGGAAGCGACCGAGCGAUUGGCAGCGGAACCCGAAAACCUGUCUCAGUUCGGAUCGGAGUCUGCAACCCGACUCCGUGAAGCUGGAUUCGCUAGUAAUCGCGCAUCAGCCAUGGCGCGGUGAAUACGUUCCCGGGCCUUGUACACACCGCCCGUCAAGCCAUGGGAGCCGGGAGUGCCUGAAGGCCGUGACCGCAAGGAGCGGCCUAAGGUAAAACUGGUGACUGGGGCUAAGUCGUAACAAGGUAGC